GACGAACGCUGGCGGCGUGCCUAAUACAUGCAAGUAGAACGCACAGUUUAUACCGUAGCUUGCUACACCAUAGACUGUGAGUUGCGAACGGGUGAGUAACGCGUAGGUAACCUGCCUGGUAGCGGGGGAUAACUAUUGGAAACGAUAGCUAAUACCGCAUAAUAUUGAUUAUUGCAUGAUAAUUGAUUGAAAGAUGCUAUUGCAUCACUACCAGAUGGACCUGCGUUGUAUUAGCUAGUAGGUGAGGUAACGGCUCACCUAGGCGACGAUACAUAGCCGACCUGAGAGGGUGAUCGGCCACACUGGGACUGAGACACGGCCCAGACUCCUACGGGGGGCAGCAGUAGGGAAUCUUCGGCAAUGGACGAAAGUCUGACCGAGCAACGCCGCGUGAGUGAAGAAGGUUUUCGGAUCGUAAAGCUCGGUUGUAAGAGAAGAACGGGUGUGAGAGUGGAAAGUUAACACUGUGACGGUAUCUUACCAGAAAGGGACGGCUAACUACGUG
rnacentral:rRNA from 1 species